UGGCUGUCGUCAGCUCGUGUCGUGAGAUGUUCGGUUAAGUCCGCUAACGAGCGCAACCCUCACUGUGUGUUAUAUGUGUCACACGGGACUGCCGGUUUUAAGCCGGAGGAAGUGGGGAUGACGUCAAGUCAGCAUGGCCUUUAUAUCCUGGGCUACACACACGCUACAAUGGUCGGUACAAUAGGUUGCCAAGCCGCGAGGCGGAGCCAAUCCACAAAGCCGGCCUCAGUUCAGAUUGUAGGCUGCAACUCGCCUGCAUGAAGAUGGAGUUGCUAGUAACCGCAGGUCAGCAAUACUGCCGGUGAAUACGUUCCCGGGUCUU
rnacentral:rRNA from 1 species